UGCAGCUUCCACAAUGGUAAACGAAGCCUCCUGAAGAUUACAUUCAACUUCUAUUCCUACACGUUCACGUCGUGCAGGGUGGUAACAUGGGCCCAAGUCCAGCCAUUUGGCUGGAUGAAGGCUCAUGGCUAAGAAGCAGGCG
rnacentral:ribozyme from 1 species